CACAAUGUUUCAGCAUUCAGAAAAAGAGUGUAUUGACGCUAGCACAACAAAUAUUGGUCUUUGCACAUCUCCUUUAAAUAAAUUUGUAUGGAAUAUGGCUAACACAAGAGUAUUAUUAGAUUUAUGGAAAGAUAAUUACAAAGCAUUAACAUCUGCAAGAAGAAACACAAAUAUUUACAAACAAAUGGCAGCUGAAUUUUCAAACACAUUUAAUAUCGUACCUCCGUUAACUGGAUAUCAAAUUCAAUCUAAAAUUAGUAAUUUGAGGAAGCAAUUUAGACGAGAAAAACUUCAAGUUGUCAUCGGGAGGAGCUCCUAGUAAAUGGUGGCCUUACAAUAUUGUUGCCAAAAUAAUAGAUGGUAAAGCUUCCCUUGACAAUGACCUUUUAUCUUAAAGUCAAAACUUUUCUACUCAAGAUUUUCAAGAUGGUCAGAUUGCCACAAUGGAAGAUGGCAAGGAGACUGUCAGUAUUUUAAAUAUUGAAGCUUUGGAUGAUACAAGUGAUGUGCAAUCAAUUGUCACUAUUCCUGAUG
rnacentral:lncRNA from 1 species